UUAUUGCAAAUAAAUCUUAUGACGUUGUUAUGAACAGUGAUGAUCCAUCUGUUAAGCUACGAAAGUUACAUCCAGAAUUAAUAAACCAGAAGCUUGCACAUGACUUUCACUUCGUGCAUCGUUUGGACUUUGCAACAAGUGGUGCUGUUUGUAUUGCUUUACACAAACGUGCAGCAAAAGCAGCUGCAACAGCUUUUGAAACAAGGAAAACAAAGAAGUAUUACGUGGCCAUUGUUCGAGGACAUGUUGCUAAAGAGCUUAUGGACAUUACAGAUCCAAUUGGUGAAGACAAAAGGGAACGACAUGGUAACCAUCGCAUGUGUCUGGCUUCUGAUCCUAACAGCUGUUACGCAAAAUUUGCACAUACGCGAUUGCUAGUUCUUCAGCGUGGGCUUUAUGGAACAUAUCCAGCUACAAAAGUAUUGUUAAGGCCAGUCACUGGAAGAAGGCAUCAGCUGCGCGUUCAUUGCAUGAGCAUAGGUCACACCAUUGUUGGAGAUUACACGUAUAGUAAUAAAAACGAUAGUUUACCAACUCGAAUGUAUUUACAUUCUUAUAGGCUGGUUAUACCAAAUGACAUUGAAUCUAUAGAUAUUCAGACUGCAGAUCCAUUCGAAAAUGAAAAUAAUCCACACACAUGGAUGGUGGUAGAAGCUUUAAAUGACUUAGAUGAAAAUGUAUUCAAGAAAUUGGACACCCAAGACUGAAGGUCUAAUUUCUUGAUGGGCUAUGGACAUGCGUGAAUGAAUGAAAAAGAUAAACAUACUUUUCAUAGAGGUAAUUGAAGUGACACAUUGGGUCAGACAGUGGGUUUAAUUCCCUGUAAAAGUUAAUGAAGUGUUGUCCAUUAAUGUAUCUCUCCCUGCUACAAGGAAUUGUUCCAGGAAGAAAUAUGUGAGCUGAAUUGCACACCGGAAAGUGCAGUUUGAGCAAGCUACAUUAUUGCACUGAAAACUGCAAAAACUGGAAGACCUUGUAUGAACGGCUAAUUUGUAAAAGAGUGUUUUGUAGAGUGUUUGGAGGUAAUGUAGAGUGUUUGGAGGUAAUGUAGAGUGUUUGGAGGUAAUACACCCAUCUGUAGUGGCCCAGUUUGAGGCGGUAAGCUUGUCUGAACAUACAAUUUCUCGAAGAGUGCAAGAAAUCGGUGCAGAAUUAAAGGAGCAGUUUUUGCAGUAAAUGUUGUAUGUUUGUAGAGUACUUGAUUGCCUUUGAUGAGAGCACUGACAAUCACAGCAUAGCUCAACUUACAAUUUUUGUAAGGGGUUUCAAAAAAGUUUUCAUUUUUACUGAGGAACUGUUGCAUGUUAUUUCUUUGAAAAAUACCACAAUCGGGGAAGAUAUUUUCCUGGCUGUAGAGGUGGUUUUGAACAAUAUACAGUUGUUACUCGAGUGCCUAUACAGCAUUGCAACUGAUGGGGCCCCUGCAAUGUUGUUGGGAGGGGUAGAUUUUGUAGGACAUACGAAAAAAAAGUACACAAAUCUGAGCUUCCCCCAGUUUUGACAGUACACUGUCUUUUACAUCAAGAACAGCUAAGUGCAACAGUUUUCCACAAGUUUAGGUCCAUCGUAGAUAAUGUUGCAAAAAUUGUGAGGUUUUGUAGACAGCAAAACUUGAAUCAUCGGGAAUUUAAAGGAUUCUUGGAGGAUAUUUAAUCAGUUCACAAUGAUAUGCCUUUUUAAUUGCACUGCAUGAUGGUGAAGUUGCUCAAAAGUACUCUGACUUUUUUCAUUUGAGACAAGAAAUAGCUCUGUUCGCUGAUAGGAAAGGUUUUCUACAGUCAGACUUGGAUGAUGAACAACGUAUCACUAACCUCGCAGUCAUGAAAGACAACAUGGGGUUGCAAGCUAAAAAUAAAUUAAUCAGUGCUAUGUGUGACUAUACUGAAAGUUUCAUAUUGCAUCAUUUGCUUUUUAAAAGUCAACUUCAAGGAGGAAAUUUGUACAAUUUUCCCCUCCCUAAAAUUCUUGAAUUUAGGUACUUAUGAAGACAUAAACCGAGUAAAAUCUGCACUCAAAGUGUUUAUGAUGCCAUUUUCAGUGUGUGCCUAGAGGAUGCCCCAUCAAGCGUCCAAGUUGAGCUGAUAAAACUGAAGUCCAAUUCAGUUUUGACAGACUGCUAUUAUCAUGACAAUGGUGAUUUGAUUUCAUUGUAUAAAGGCACUGAUCAACAAGAAUUCCCGAGGAUUCACACCCUUGCCCUGAAAUAUAUAGCUAUGCUUGGACAACAUUAGUUUGUGAACAAAUGUUUUCAAUUAUGAAUAUUAACAAAACAAAACAAGGUCAAGUUCAUCUGAUGCUUUGUUGGAAGCUAUGCUUCAAAUUUGCAACUGCCAAAAUGAUUGUUCCAAAUAUCGGAAAAUUAGUGGCUUCAAAAUGGUGCCAAAGAUAAACAAAGAAUGUUGUAAAUUAGUGUAAAAU